rnacentral:rRNA from 1 species
UACCUGCAGCCCAAGUGGUGCUCGUUAUUAUUGGGUCUAAAACGUCCGUAGUCGGCUGAGUAGGUGCCCGGGUAAAUCGAGGCGCUCAACGUCUCGAAUUCCGGGUAGACCGCUCGGCUAGGGAGUGGGAGAGGUGUGAGGUACUCUGAGGGUAGGGGUAAAAUCCUGUAAUCCUUGGGGGACCACCAGUGGCGAAGGCGUCACACUAGAACACGUCCGACGAUCAGGGACGAAGCCCUGGGGCGCAAACGGG